AUACGGAGGGUGCAAGCGUUGUUCGGAAUUAUUGGGCGUAAAGCGCGUGUAGGCGGUUUCUUAAGUCUGAUGUGAAAGCCCCGGGCUCAACCUGGGAAGUGCAUUGGAAACUGGGGGACUUGAGUACGGGAGAGGGUAGUGGAAUUCCAUGUGUAGCGGUGAAAUGCGUAGAUAUAUGGAGGAACACCAGUGGCGAAGGCGGCAUACUAGCUCGAUACUGACGCUCAUUCACGAAAGCGUGGGUAGC
rnacentral:rRNA from 1 species